CACGUAGGGCGCGAGCGUUGUCCGGAAUUAUUGGGCGUAAAGAGCUCGUAGGCGGCCUGUUGCGUCCGCUGUGAAAGCCCGGGGCUUAACCCCGGGCCUGCAGUCGAUACGGGCAGACUAGAGUGCGGUAGGGGAGACUGGAAUUCCUGGUGUAGCGGUGAAAUGCGCAGAUAUCAGGAGGAACACCGGUGGCGAAGGCGGGUCUCUGGGCCGUAACUGACGCUGAGGAGCGAAAGCGUGGGGAGCGAACAGG
rnacentral:rRNA from 1 species